CCCAGACAGCCAGGAUGUUGGCUUAGAAGCAGCCAUCAUUUAAAGAAAGCGUAAUAGCUCACUGGUCGAGUCGGCCUGCGCGGAAGAUGUAACGGGGCUAAACCAUGCACCGAAGCUGCGGCAGCGACACUCAGGUGUUGUUGGGUAGGGGAGCGUUCUGUAAGCCUGUGAAGGUGGGUCGUGAGGCUUGCUGGAGGUAUCAGAAGUGCGAAUGCUGACAUAAGUAACGAUAAAGCGGGUGAAAAGCCCGCUCGCCGGAAGACCAAGGGUUCCUGUCCAACGUUAAUCGGGGCAGGGUGAGUCGACCCCUAAGGCGAGGCCGAAAGGCGUAGUCGAUGGGAAACGGGUUAAUAUUCCCGUACUUGGUGUUACUGCGAAGGGGGGACGGAGAAGGCUAUGUUGGCCGGGCGACGGUUGUCCCGGUUUAAGCGUGUAGGUGUGUGUUCCAGGUAAAUCCGGUUCACUUUAACACUGAGGCGUGAUGACGAGGCACUACGGUGCUGAAGCAACAAAUGCCCUGCUUCCAGGAAAAGCCUCUAAGCAUCAGGUAACAUCAAAUCGUACCCCAAACCGACACAGGUGGUCAGGUAGAGAAUACCAAGGCGCUUGAGAGAACUCGGGUGAAGGAACUAGGCAAAAUGGUGCCGUAACUUCGGGAGAAGGCACGCUGA
rnacentral:rRNA from 1 species